GGCUCAGAACGAACGCUGGCGGCGUGCUUAACACAUGCAAGUCGAACGCGAAAGGGACUUCGGUCCUGAGUAAAGUGGCGCACGGGUGAGUAACGCGUGGAUAAUCUACCCAAUGGUCUGGGAUAACAUUUCGAAAGGGGUGCUAAUACCGGAUAAGACCACGGAGUCUCUGGACUCUGCGGUAAAAGGUGGGGACCUUCGGGCCUACCGCAAUUGGAUGAGUCCGCGUACCAUUAGCUAGUUGGUAGGGUAAAGGCCUACCAAGGCUACGAUGGUUAGCUGGUCUGAGAGGAUGAUCAGCCACACUGGAACUGAGACACGGUCCAGACUCCUACGGGAGGCAGCAGUGGGGAAUUUUGCGCAAUGGGGGAAACCCUGACGCAGCAACGCCGCGUGAGUGAUGAAGGCCUUCGGGUCGUAAAGCUCUGUCAGAGGGGAAGAAAUGCAGGGUGCUAAUAUCGCUUCUGCUUGACGGUACCCUCAAAGGAAGCACCGGCUAACUCCGUGCCAGCAGCCGCGGUAAUACGGAGGGUGCGAGCGUUGUUCGGAAUUAUUGGGCGUAAAGCGCGUGUAGGCGGUUUGUUAAGUCUGAUGUGAAAGCCCCGGGCUCAACCUGGGAAGUGCAUUGGAAACUGGCAGACUUGAAUACGGGAGAGGGUAGUGGAAUUCCUAGUGUAGGAGUGAAAUCCGUAGAUAUUAGGAGGAACACCGGUGGCGAAGGCGGCUGCCUGGACCGAUAUUGACGCUGAGACGCGAAAGCGUGGGGAGCAAACAGGAUUAGAUACCCUGGUAGUCCACGCCGUAAACGAUGAGUACUAGGUGUUGCGGGUAUUGACCCCUGCAGUGCCGCAGCUAACGCAUUAAGUACUCCGCCUGGGAAGUAC
rnacentral:rRNA from 1 species